GGACUCUCGCACCGCCCCCUGCGCACAUGAUCUCCUUUACUCGCCACUGAUUUGCCACCCGCUUGGGUAGCACGCUCUGGAACUAUCAAUGGCUGAAUGGCACCCUGACCACCACGUAAUCCCCGCUUGCUUCGAGGCUGCCUGACCUGCUGAGUUCCUCCAGCAUUUUGUUCAUGUUAAUCUGGGCUUCCAGCAUUUGCGGAAUCUGCAUGAGCAUGGAAAAGGCAGGCCCUUCCAGCCCAAAGAACUGCACUGUCCAGCAACCCACCAACAUUUGAGUGCUCCUGCUAUUGGCACACUGUUAAGGGGUAUCCCUGCCCUUAAUGCAGAGUACAGGGCAGACACAUACGUUUGUCAUUUAACUUUCAGAGAGGCCAUAUGGACAGUCCAGAUCAUUUCGGGGUGCUAUUCAUUUGAUUGUGGAACUACCAAACUUCCUGAAAAUCCACACGCUGCUGUCACUCUGCUUGUCUUCCGACUUCCCAUGGACCCCAGCAGUGCUGCCGCAGCCCAUCAGCCGGGGUGGAAAAUCAGGAUCAGUAACUACAUUUAUUUCAGCAGAGAAACUGUGGCGAGAGAAGGAGGCAGGGAUUUUGAUCAAAUGAAUUAAGACCACAAGACAUAGGAGCAGCAUUAGGCCAUUUGGUCCAUCAAGUCAUCGUGGCUGAUUUAUCAUCCCUCUCAACCCCAUUCUCCUGCUUUGUUCCUGUAACCUUUGACACCCAGACUAAUCAAGAACCUCUCAACCUCCAUUUUAAAUAUAUCCAAUGACUUGGCCUCCAAAGCAGUCAAACCUUAACAAAUAAAUCUAUUUAAGAGUUUUAUUUUUUAAACCUUAAUUAGAGAAUGAGAAUCAGAAUCACUGAUAAAUGUGAAACUUGUUGUUUUGCAGCAGCAGUACAUUGCAAUACAUGAAAGAAUAAGUUACAAUAAAAAAUAUUUAAAAAUAGUGCAAAUAGAGAGCAAAAUAGUGAGGUGGUGUUUGUAACACAAUAAGAAACAUAAGAAAAUAAAUUAGUGCAAAAAGGGAGCAAGUUAGUGAGGUAGUGUUUAUGGACUGUUCAGAAAUCCGAUGGUGGAGGGGAUGAAGCUGUACCUAAAACGUUGAGUGUGUGUCUUGUGCCUCCUGUACCUCCUCCCCAUUGGUAUUACAAAAAUAUCUAACAUUUUCUUCUUUUUAAUAGUUAUUUUACAGUGCUUGAAAAUGAAGAGGCAUUCACAGAAAUUCCAGUUGUGUAAUAAUUUCGACAGCUGUUCUUUCUGAUAGGAUAGCUGAGUUAGUGCUCAAUGCACUUCAGGAUGUAUCUGUAUAACAAGAAAGCCCUGCAGAGGAAUGGGCCUCACAAAGCCAGAUUUGUGAACAUUUAUCUGCAGGUACCUCAGCAAGGAGCAUAGACAUAUGGAAAUACAUUGCUGGUGGGAAGUGGGCUGCAUGUGAUUAAAUUGAUUAUAAUUAUAACUGCAUUAUAAUGAGAGAUGCCCAAAAUCAACACUAAAACGCCUGCUUGACCUGCCAUAAACUACGCACCUGUGUUAUGGACGGGUUGUAUCCACACCCUUACUGAUCAACUACCAUAUAUCCACAUCAUUCUACAGAUGCACAGUAUAGAGCAUCCUAACAAGCUGCACAGCAUGGAGACAGGCACUGCUGUGGACAGGAAGGCUCUGCAACAGGUAGUCAAACUACCCAACACAUCACUGGCACCAGCCUACCUACCGUCAAGAACAUGCAUACUGAAAGGUGCCGGAAAAGGGCCAGUAACAUCAUGAAGGAUCCCACCCACCCUACUCAUGGACAGUUUGUCUCACACCCAUCAAACCACCAUCCGUGCCAGAACCAUCAGACUCAAAAAAAAGUUACUUUCCCCAAGUAGUAAAACUGGUCAACACCUCCACCACUAACCAACCCCACUACCACAACUUUAUUAUUUCCUGUCUGUCACUUUAGUAUCGACAACUCCUGUAUCUAGUGUAACUUUAUAGACAUAGUCAAUGUAGAAGAUAUCUUAAGUGUUUAUAUUUUAUUGAGAUAAUUCUUUGUGCUGCAUUGGAUCUAGGAUAAUAAUAGUUUUGUUCUCCUUUACACUUGUGCACUGAUAAUGACAUUAAACAACCUUGAACCUCUG